AUACGAGGGUUGCAAGCGUUAAUCGGAAUUACUGGGCGUAAAGCGUUCGUAGGCGGUUUGUUAAGCAAGAUGUGAAAGCCCUGGGCUCAACCUGGGAACUGCAUUUUGAACUGGCAAGCUAGAAUACUGUAGAGGGUGGUGGAAUUUCCAGUGUAGCGGUGAAAUGCGUAGAGAUUGGAAGGAACAUCAGUGGCGAAGGCGGCCACCUGGACAGAUAUUGACGCUGAGGAACGAAAGCGUGGGGAGCGAACAGGAUUAGAUACCCGAGUAGUCC
rnacentral:rRNA from 1 species